GGCGGGCGGGCGGUCCCGGCGCUGAGAGCCCGGGCCCCGCGGUCAGAGCGCCAGGGUCUGCGGGACGCGCCCGGGGCGGCCUGGGGCGGGAGGCUUCUCCUCCGCCCUCCUUCCUCCGCACUCCCUGCUCUCUUCCUUCCGUUCCCCGCUUCGUUUCUUCCGCGUGCACCUGGGGAUGCAGGUGCUGCAGGCACCGACUGUCCUUUCUGCCGGGGUGGGGGGGCACACACAAACCCCUCCCCUGCCCGAGGGGCUGCUCCUGGGGCCAGCAGCAGCCGACAACGCCGACGCUAGGAGGGCCGCUGUUCUGCACCCCCUGGAGCCGAAAGCCGAUGGGGUGGGGGGUGCGGGGUGCGCGGUGCCGGCCUCGGGGAAGACGAUGCUGGCCAAGGCUUGAGGAUCACUACUCAGAGGGUGAAUGACUCUUAGGAAUUAUAUAAAGAAAUGGUGCAUACACCUUGAAAAAGCCCAAGAACUCCAAAGGUGUGCUUCAUAAUAUGGGUCCUGCACGCUUCGGGGGUGCGACUCUGCUCAAAGGUGUACUUCACAGUAAAGACACAUUCUCUACUUAA